rnacentral:lncRNA from 1 species
UGGAAGAGAAGUGUGGUGAGUCACCCCAGGCCUGACAGAUUCACUCAGAUCUUCAGAGGCCACCUGGGAUGUCAGAAGCUUCCAGGAACCAGGAGGUAGCUGCAUCUCCUGUCCCUUCCCUGAGUCACCUUGCUGGACUCCACAGUGUGGUGCAGACAAGAAGCUGCAGGGGACAACAUGGAAGGAAGCGGGGAUGGAGGAGAUGGAAUGGGAUGGGCUCUGGGCCCGGCCAAGCAGGAUAGGGCUGAGAGUCAUCUGAGCACAGGUGGUUCAAAUGGC